GACGAACGCUGGCGGCGUGCUUAACACAUGCAAGUCGAACGGAAAGGCCCUGCUUUUGUGGGGUGCUCGAGUGGCGAACGGGUGAGUAACACGUGAGUAACCUGCCCUUGACUUUGGGAUAACUUCAGGAAACUGGGGCUAAUACCGGAUAGGAGCUCCUGCUGCAUGGUGGGGGUUGGAAAGUUUCGGCGGUUGGGGAUGGACUCGCGGCUUAUCAGCUUGUUGGUGGGGUAGUGGCUUACCAAGGCUUUGACGGGUAGCCGGCCUGAGAGGGUGACCGGCCACAUUGGGAAUGAGAUACGGCCCAGACUCCUACGGGAGGCAGCAGUGGGGAAUAUUGCACAAUGGGCGGAAGCAUGAUGCAGCAACGCCGCGUGCGGGAUGACGGCCUGCGGGUUGUAAACCGCUUUCGCCUGUGACGAAGGGUGAGUGACGGUAAUGGGUAAAGAAGCACCGGCUAACUAC
rnacentral:rRNA from 1 species